ACAGGGGGCCAUGCUAAUCUUCUCUGUAUCGUUCCAGUUUGAGUAUAUGGGCUGCCAACCGUCUCUUCAAACAAUCCUCCUGCCCCUAAAAGUUCCCAUCCAGCUCCUUGUCUUCACCACACGGCCACAUGUCUCGAAAUAGUCCCCUGCACUCACCACCCACGUUCCUGAAUUAGUAGUUCUCUCUUGGUCCCUUACACUCCCACCUUCCUUCCCUUCCCAGUGGAAACCCCUCGCUCAGGGCCCCCCGGGAACUCCCCGUCACUGAGUCCCACAAGCUUUGUUUGCUCUCUCCUUCCUUUGCCCCCUGUAAAGUGACGAAUAACUGCCCCACCUCCUGGUUUUGUGAAUAGCAAUUACUGGGAUUUUUUUUUUAGUCAUAAAAGUAUCACAUGUGGUUGAGCGCACAGACCCUGGAGCCAGGCUGCCGGAUCAGCAUUGCAACGCUGGCUCCUCCGCUCACCUUCGCUCUGACCUUGGCUGCAUGUGCUCCGCGCGUCUGCCUCCCUCGGUUCCUUUAAUCCCAACCUGGGAAAAACAGUAGUAACCUCACAGUGUUGUUUUGAGGAUGAAGUAAGUUAAUAUCUAUAAAGCUCUCAGAACAAUGCUGGGCAAGUGUAUGUGCUGUUCACGUAUUAGCUGUUAAGAGCAAAAAAUAAAUAAAUCAAACCUUACUGCAGGAGUGCAUUAAAAACACUGAAAAUCCCCUAAAAUUCUCACCGCCUAGCAAUAGCUACAUUGUGGAAUAUAUUCUUCCAGUGUGUUUGGGGGGGGUAUAAUACAUUUUAAUGAUAUUUAUAGCUAACUAAACAUAUUUAUACAGCACUAACUUGCCCUUCUGCCUCUCUUCCCCUAGCUUUUGUGAUCGUGUCACCCCACCCCUUCUCUGCUCCUUUGAAGCUGCCUUUCUUGUCGCCUGUACACAUGGCAAAGGCCCAGGGGUGUGCCCUGCUCUUUUCUUCAUGCUCUCCCUCCAAAGUCUAGCAUUUCCACUGCCACCUCUGAGCUCCUGGUCCCUGUUCAGCCCGAAGAAAGAAGUCUUGUUCAUUCUUCCAUGUCCUCUCACAUGCAUCCACCUUUGCAUUCCAGUUGCCGCCAUCUGUCUAAGACCUUAUGUUCUAACUCUCAAGAGCAGUGAUGAUGCUGAGCGAUAACAGGGGGCUGGUUUCCAUGUUUGCCAGGCUCUUUUCUCUGUGAUUCCAUUUCACCAUUACGGUCCGGUGAGAUAGGCACGCUUGGGAUCCCGUUUUGCAGAUAGAGAACCUCGGGGUUCACUGAGGUGACAUAGGAAGGAGCUCAGCACAGAUUUGAGCCCCGUUCCUUCUGAUCCCAAACGUGAUCUGUAUACCAUAUUGCCUGCCCCUAGACCUUCCAUGGAAAUAUUCUACUUGUCUUUCUCUGCCGCCCACUUAUAGUCCCACCCAUAUAAGUUUUCCAAGAGCACUCCCUUUGCCUGUCAUUCUGCUCAGAAACCUUUGGUGGCUCCCAUUCUCACAUAACAGUCAGCUUUUCUUUUCUUUUGCUUUUUUCGGGGCCACACUUUCAGCAUAUAGAGGUUCCCAGGCUAGGGGUGGAAUCAGAGCUGCAGCCUCUGGUCUGCACACCACAGGCGUGGCAACGCAGGAUCAGAGCCUCCUCUGCAACCUACAUACCCUGCCACUUAUGGCAACGCCAGAUCCUUAACCCCCUAAGCAAGGCCAGGGAUUUGAACCCACAUCCUCAUGGAUACUAGUCACCACUGAGCCACAAUGGAAACUUCCCCAGAGUCAGUUUUAAUCCACGCUUUCCUGUUCCCUUCAGGAACCAUGCUGAAAUCCUCCCCGCUCUUUCACUACCACCCAUCUAGUUCUUAGCCUUCAGGGAUUGAUCCACUUGAGUAUUGCUUCACACAGGUCUGCUUGCUCAAGCCCUCACUGACAGUCUUCUCUAAGCUCCUAAUGCUUGCACUUGGCCCACUGAUAUUCCUUAUUUAUAUUCAGGACUUAGUCCACCUUAUUGGAAUCACAAGACCUUUAAUCACCUGUGUAAGAGCCCACAUUCAUUGUCCAUGGGUGAUGCCCAGCCCAGCUGGUAAGACCAUGAAGGUCAAUGAGCUGCUCACACACACUCUUCUCGGUCCUUCUCAGCCUUUCCCUCUCUUGAACCUACCCCUAUGCCUUCAAGCAGCUGGCAGCGUUCAAAGCAGGAGAAUGAUGGAGUUCCCGUUGUGGCUCAGUGGUUAAUGAAUCCGACUAGGAACCAUGAGGUUGAGGGUUCGAUCCUUGGCCUUGCUCAGUGGGUUAAGGAUCCAUCAUUGCCGUGACCUGUGGUGUAGGUUGCAGACGUGGCUCAGAUCCUGCCUUGCUGUGGCUCUGGUGUAGCCCGUUCCCAGGCUAGGGGUCAAAUCAAAGCUACAGCUGCUGGCCUGUGCCACAGCCACAGCAAUGCCAGAUCCAAGCUGCAUCUGCAACCUACACCACAGCUCACGGCAACACCGGAUCCUUAACCCACUGAGCAAGGCUAGGGAUCGAACCCACAACCUGGUGGUUCCUAGUCAGAUUCAUUUCCUCUGCACCAGGACGGGAAUGCCAACCUGGUUGCUUCUUAAUCUAAAAGGGGAUGCCACAGCAUUCUCCUGUUGACUGAUGCCUCACUUUCAACUCUCCUAUUAGGUGUUUGAGUUGUUUCAUUGCAUUCACGCUGGAGAAGCGGGUGAACGUCUCUCUGCUUGGCAAUAUUAGAAAGCAUGCCCUCUGCUUAAGUCAGUCAGAUGCCAGGCCUUUAUGACCAGAAUCCUAACUGUCUCUCUUCUGCUGCUUUGUCGGCCCACCAGGAAUGAGGGCAGAGUGGCUGUGUUGUGGACAACAGCCCGGGUAAGGGAACUCACUGCAGAUCACAUCCAGCUCUGCGCAGCGUGGGGAGGGAGAGGGAGAGGGAGAGGGUCCCUCCGGAUCCCUCAGCAAGGCCGAUGGGGAAGGCUCCCAGGAGGUCACAGAGAUGGGAAAGAAGGCACAUGUUUUCUGGGUUCAGGUAUCAGAAGGGCCAUUGACCACCCCGCCACAGGGAAGAGAUGAAGGGGCAUUUGGAGUGUUCUGCCUCCAUCCUGAGACAGAUUGGUCCUAUGUCCCUUCCCAGCAAAUAACUUGCUCACGGUGAAGUGCCUGUGUCUUUGGGGAGCAAACGACGCUCUGUGAAGUGAGAGCAUGAUUUCCAAACAACGUGAGAGCAUAACCAAGAGACCGUUUCAUGGCACCCUGAGGUGUUCAGCAUCUGGAAGGGAACAAGCCUGCGUGUGGGAGUGACGCCAGCAAGGAAGCCCCCUAUGUCAUUGCUCCUCCCCCAGUGGCCUCCACACCAGCAAAAUAGGCAUCAGCAAGAAGAACAUCUUAGAAAUGCAAAUUCUCCACCCCGCCUCCCCAGCCCAGACCUACUGACUUCAGAAACUGGCCUGGGGUGGGGGCGGGGGAAGAGCACUGUUCCAGGGGGCUUCCUCACGUCAUAUAGCAUCCUUUGCUCCCCCAAGCAGUGAGCCCAUUGAAGGCAGGAACUCAGUCUCCUGCCUCUCGGGUCAUUCCCACGUCUUCUCUCUCCCGCUCCUGCAAGCUCCCACUGCAGGACCUGCAGGCAGAUGCAGUGAUCUAGGAGCACUGGGGUUGAUGGCAGCCCUGGAGAGUGGCCAUUUCCUCAUCUGGAAAGUGGGUUAAUAAUGCCACCUGCACCGUGACCUCCAGAUAUAACAUUAGUUCAAAUUUGGAAAAAAAAAAAAAAAAAAAAAANNNAAAAAAAAA
rnacentral:lncRNA from 1 species